rnacentral:tRNA from 1 species
GCGCCCUUAGCUCAGCUGGUAGAGCAGUAGACUCUUAAUCUAUUUGUCCAGGGUUCGAGUCCCUGAAGGCGCA